UACGUAGGGGGGCUAGCGUUGUCCGGAUUUAUUGGGCGUAAAGAGCGUGUAGGCGGCCAGAUAGGUCUGCUGUGAAAACUCGAGGCUCAACCUCGAGAUGUCGGCGGAAACCAUUUGGCUAGAGUCCGGAAGAGGCGAGUGGAAUUCCUGGUGUAGCGGUGGAAUGCGCAGAUAUCAGGAGGAACACCGAUGGCGAAGGCAGCUCGCUGGGACGGUACUGACGCUGAGGCGCGAAGACGUGGGGAGCGAACAGG
rnacentral:rRNA from 1 species